GACAGAGGUGCCGAGCGUUAGGCGGAAUCACUGGGCUUAAAGCGUGUGUAGGCGGGUCGUUAAGUGUCUUGUGAAAUCCCACCGCUCAACGGUGGAACUGCUGGGCAUACUGGCGAUCUUGAGCCACCUAGGGGCAGACGGAACAAGCGGUGGAGCGGUGAAAUGCGUAGAUAUCGCUUGGAACGCCGACGGUGAAAACAGUCUGCUGGGGGUGUGCUGACGCUGAGACGCGAAAGCCAGGGGAGCAAACGGG
rnacentral:rRNA from 1 species